GUUAUAGGGUCAAGCGAAUAAGUGCAUGUGGUGGAUGCCUUGGCGAUCACAGGCGAUGAAGGACGUAGUAGCUUGCGAAAAGCUGCGGGGAGCUGGCAAACGAGCUUUGAUCCGCAGAUGUCCGAAUGGGGAAACCCGGCCCGUAUGGGUCAUCCCUUGCUGAAUACAUAGGCAAGGGAGGCGAACGCAGUGAACUGAAACAUCUAAGUAGCUGCAGGAAAAGAAAUCAACCGAGAUUCCCAAAGUAGUGGCGAGCGAAAUGGGAACAGCCUUGUACUCUUUAGCAGUAUUGUUAGCGGAACGGAAUGGAAAGUCCGGCCAUAGUGGGUGAUAGCCCCGUACGCGAAAACAGUAUUGUGGAACUAGGUGUACGACAAGUAGGGCGGGACACGUGAAAUCCUGUCUGAAGAUGGGGGGACCAUCCUCCAAGGCUAAAUACUCGUGAUCGACCGAUAGUGAACCAGUACCGUGAGGGAAAGGCGAAAAGAACCCCGGGAGGGGAGUGAAAUAGAUCCUGAAACCGCAUGCAUACAAACAGUCGGAGCCUGGAAACGGGUGACGGCGUACCUUUUGUAUAAUGGGUCAGCGACUUACAUUCAGUGGCAAGCUUAACCGAUUAGGGAAGGCGUAGCGAAAGCGAGUCCGAAUAGGGCGUUCAGUCGCUGGGUGUAGACCCGAAACCAAGUGAUCUAUCCAUGGCCAGGUUGAAGGUGCGGUAACACGUACUGGAGGACCGAACCCACUAACGUUGAAAAGUUAGGGGAUGAGCUGUGGAUAGGGGUGAAAGGCUAAACAAACUUGGAAAUAGCUGGUUCUCUCCGAAAACUAUUUAGGUAGUGCCUCGUGUCUCACCUUCGGGGGUAGAGCACUGUCAUGGUUGGGGGGUCUAUUGCUGAUUACCCCGCCAUAGCAAACUCCGAAUACCGAAGAGUGCAAUCACGGGAGACAGACAUCGGGUGCUAACGUCCGGUGUCAAGAGGGAAACAACCCAGACCGCCAGCUAAGGUCCCUAAGAUUGGCUAAGUGGGAAACGAAGUGGGAAGGCUAAAACAGUCAGGAGGUUGGCUUAGAAGCAGCCACCCUUUAAAGAAAGCGUAAUAGCUCACUGAUCGAGUCGUCCUGCGCGGAAGAUGUAACGGGGCUAAGCCAGUCACCGAAGCUGCGGAUGCACGUAAGUGCAUGGUAGGAGAGCGUUCUGUAAGCCUGUGAAGGUGUCUUGUAAAGGAUGCUGGAGGUAUCAGAAGUGCGAAUGCUGACAUGAGUAGCGAUAAAGGGGGUGAAAGGCCCCCUCGCCGUAAGCCCAAGGUUUCCUACGCAACGUUCAUCGGCGUAGGGUGAGUCGGCCCCUAAGGCGAGGCAGAGAUGCGUAGCUGAUGGGAAGCAGGUUAAUAUUCCUGCACCGUCGUAUGAUGCGAUGGGGGACGGAUCGCGGAAGGUUGUCCGGGUGUUGGAAGUCCCGGUCCCUACAUUGGAGAUGGCACUUAGGCAAAUCCGGGUGCGUGAUUCAAGGGUGUGGGGCGAGCGACGUUAGGUCGCGAAGCAAUUGGAAGUGGUUCCAAGAAAAGCCUCUAAGCUUCAGUCAUACGAGACCGUACCGCAAACCGACACAGGUGGGCGAGAUGAGUAUUCUAAGGCGCUUGAGAGAACUCGGGAGAAGGAACUCGGCAAAUUGGUACCGUAACUUCGGGAUAAGGUACGCCCUUGUAGUUUGACUGGCUCGCGCCAGAAGGAUGAAGGGGUUGCAAUAAAAUGGUGGCUGCGACUGUUUAAUAAAAACACAGCACUCUGCAAACACGAAAGUGGACGUAUAGGGUGUGACGCCUGCCCGGUGCCGGAAGAUUAAAUGAUGGGGUGCAAGCUCUUGAUUGAAGUCCCGGUAAACGGCGGCCGUAACUAUAACGGUCCUAAGGUAGCGAAAUUCCUUGUCGGGUAAGUUCCGACCUGCACGAAUGGCGUAACGAUGGCCACACUGUCUCCUCCCGAGACUCAGCGAAGUUGAAGUGUUUGUGAUGAUGCAAUCUCCCCGCGGCUAGACGGAAAGACCCCAUGAACCUUUACUGUAGCUUUGCAUUGGACUUUGAACCGAUCUGUGUAGGAUAGGUGGGAGGCUUUGAAACCGGGACGCUAGUUUCGGUGGAGCCGACCUUGAAAUACCACCCUGGUUUGUUUGAGGUUCUAACCUUGGCCCGUGAAUCCGGGUCGGGGACAGUGCAUGGUAGGCAGUUUGACUGGGGCGGUCUCCUCCCAAAGUGUAACGGAGGAGUUCGAAGGUACGCUUGGUACGGUCGGACAUCGUACCUAAAGUGCAAUGGCAAAAGCGUGCUUAACUGCGAGACCGACAAGUCGAGCAGGUGCGAAAGCAGGACAUAGUGAUCCGGUGGUUCUGUAUGGAAGGGCCAUCGCUCAACGGAUAAAAGGUACUCUGGGGAUAACAGGCUGAUACCGCCCAAGAGUUCAUAUCGACGGCGGUGUUUGGCACCUCGAUGUCGGCUCAUCUCAUCCUGGGGCUGUAGCCGGUCCCAAGGGUAUGGCUGUUCGCCAUUUAAAGAGGUACGUGAGCUGGGUUUAAAACGUCGUGAGACAGUUUGGUCCCUAUCUGCCGUGGGCGUUGGAAUCUUGACGGGGCUGCUCCUAGUACGAGAGGACCGGAGUGGACGUACCGCUGGUGUACCUGUUGUCUCGCCAGAGGCAUCGCAGGGUAGCUAUGUACGGAAGAGAUAACCGCUGAAAGCAUCUAAGCGGGAAACUCGCCUGAAGAUGAGGAUUCCCUGGAGACUUGAUCUCCCUGAAGGGUCGUUCGAGACCAGGACGUUGAUAGGCUGGGUGUGGAAGCGCAGUAAUGCGUUCAGCUAACCAGUACUAAUUGCCCGUGCGGCUUGAUCCUAUAACC
rnacentral:rRNA from 1 species